rnacentral:rRNA from 1 species
GUCUUUUUGAUUAUAAUUUAAAGUCUGUCCUGCCCAAUGAUAAUUUUAAUGGCCGCGGUAUUUUGACCGUGCUAAGGUAGCAUAAUCAUUAGUUUUUUAAUUUAAGACUGGAAUGAAAGGUUUGAUGAAAAAAUUUCUGUCUCAAAUUAAUUUUAAUUGAAUUUUAUUUUUAGGUAAAAAAGCUUAAAUUUUUUUGAAAGACGAUAAGACCCUAUAGAGUUUUACUAAUUUUUUUUUGUGGAUUUUUGUUUAGAAAUUUGUUGUUUUACUUAAAUAUUAGUUUAGUUGGGGUGACUUGAAAAUAAGAUGAACUUUUCAUUUUUGAAACAUUUAUAAAUGAUAUUUUGAUCCAUUAUUAAUGAUUACAAGAUUAAAUUACCUUAGGGAUAACAGCGUAAUUUUUUUUUAGAGUUCUUAUCAAAAUAAAAGGUUGCGACCUCGAUGUUGGAUUAAGAUAAAAUUCUGGUGAAGAAGCUAGAAAUUUAGGUCUGUUCGACCUUUAAAAUCUUACA